UCCCGGAGCGCAGACCCAGGAAGCGGCCGGGCGGGCAGUAGCGAGCCGCACCGCUGCCAUGGAGCUGAGGGUCGGGAACAGGUACCGACUGGGCCGCAAGAUCGGCAGCGGCUCCUUCGGAGACAUCUAUCUCGGUACGGACAUUGCUGCAGGAGAAGAAGUUGCCAUCAAGCUUGAAUGUGUCAAAACCAAACAUCCUCAGCUCCACAUUGAGAGCAAGAUCUACAAAAUGAUGCAGGGAGGAGUGGGCAUCCCUACCAUCAGAUGGUGUGGGGCUGAGGGGGACUACAAUGUCAUGGUGAUGGAGCUACUGGGACCCAGCCUGGAAGACCUAUUCAACUUCUGUUCAAGGAAGUUUAGUCUCAAAACUGUUCUGUUGCUUGCUGACCAAAUGAUAAGUCGUAUUGAGUACAUUCAUUCGAAGAAUUUUAUCCACCGAGACGUGAAACCAGAUAACUUCCUCAUGGGGCUGGGAAAGAAAGGCAACCUGGUCUACAUCAUUGACUUUGGGCUGGCCAAGAAGUAUCGGGAUGCCCGCACCCACCAGCAUAUCCCCUAUCGAGAGAACAAGAACCUCACAGGGACAGCACGCUAUGCCUCCAUCAACACACACCUUGGCAUUGAACAAUCUCGAAGGGAUGACUUGGAGUCUCUGGGGUACGUGCUGAUGUACUUCAACCUGGGCUCUCUCCCCUGGCAGGGGCUGAAGGCCGCCACCAAGAGGCAGAAGUAUGAGAGGAUCAGUGAGAAGAAGAUGUCCACUCCAAUUGAAGUGCUGUGCAAGGGCUAUCCUUCUGAAUUUGCCACAUACCUGAAUUUCUGCCGUUCCUUACGUUUUGAUGACAAACCUGACUACUCCUACCUGAGACAGCUCUUCAGAAAUCUGUUCCAUCGCCAGGGCUUCUCCUACGACUAUGUGUUCGACUGGAACAUGCUCAAAUUUGGUGCCAGCCGGGCUGCAGAUGAUGCUGAGCGGGAACGCCGGGACCGAGAAGAACGAUUAAGACACUCCCGGAAUCCAGCCACUCGUGGCCUCCCUUCUACAGCUUCCGGCCGUCUGCGGGGAACCCAGGAAGUGGCUCCCCCAACGCCCCUUACCCCUACCUCACAUACGGCCAACACCUCUCCUAGACCCGUCUCUGGCAUGGAACGAGAACGGAAAGUGAGUAUGCGGCUGCACCGUGGGGCCCCAGUCAACGUCUCCUCAUCUGAUCUCACGGGCCGACAAGAUACCUCUCGCAUGUCCACCUCACAGAGGAGCAGGGACAUGGCAUCUCUCCGGCUGCACGCGGCCCGCCAAGGUGCCCGCUGCCGUCCCCAGCGCCCACGACGUACCACCUACUGAGGCGGCCCCAGCGGCCUCUGACCGGGCUUCCAGCCACGCAGGCCGCCACCGGCCACAGGGCAGGCUCUGCCUUCAGGAAGUGCUCCACCUCCCUCGAGUCCACCCUCACGUCCACAGGGGGCUUGUGGAGCUUCUCCUCCUCUGAGGCCACCUCCUCAGGCUUUGUCACCUCGGGCCUCUUCCUCUUCCCGAUGCAGAAGAAGUUGCCCAGCAGCAGCACAAGGGAGGAGGUCAGCAAGCAUCAACCAUCUUCGAAGGAACUGCUUGUGGAGCCUGACCACUGGGAGUAUCGACACAGCCUGCCCACUUAGAGAACCAAUAGCUUCCUGUCAAGUUUACCUACUCACAGAUUUAACCCACUCCCCUGCUCCCUGCGGACCCCAACCUCACCUGUGCCAUACAGCAUAGCCAGCAGGAUGGAGGAGAUCCAAGCUGUGUCGCUGUAGCCAAUCCCAAACUCAUGCAUGAGCUCCUUGAAAAAAACACUGACCGCUUUGGGGAAGGCAUAGGAGAAGCCCGUGAUGAUGAAACAGCCAAAGAGGACGGCCCAGCCCCAGCCCCCAUCGGGGGCCUUGAUGCCGGUGGGACCCUCGUCCACCACAGCUCCUCCCAUGGCCAGGAGGGCUGGUUUCACCUGAGGGAAAAGAAAUGUGGAUGACUCAGGUUGCCAGGGUGCGCCAUUCCUGCCACAGCCAAGCAGAGGAGGGUAGGGACAGAGACAGACAAGUUGGAGAGUUGCCAGAAUUAGCAACUGACUGCUCCAGCAGCAGCUCAGCCACGGGCAGCCUGCUUGGGGCUCCCACCCCUGGUUACCCUUAACUGGUACCUUGGAAAGCUGUUUAGACCCCUCAUUCAGUUGCCUAUCCCCACACUGGUUGGUUAUGAAGUACAUGGACUCUGGGCUCAAGCAGGAUUCUACAUUACUUCCUGGGAAGCGCAGACCCAAAGAAGUCAGCCUAGUGGGCAUCUUCUGAACCUGUGCUAGGCAUAAGCAUUGCCCACAGAGUAACCUGUACUUCCUGUCUCUUUUUAGGGCACACUCAUGAGUCCUCCCCUAGAAUGUCUAGGAUGGGUAUCCAGCACCCCUAGGUGGACCCCCUAGGUCUAAGUAGGGUCAGCCCUGCCUUGCUCUCCUGCCCCUGAGGAGCUAUGCUGCAUUCUUGCCCAGUCCGGAUUCCACUGGCUGGCUGGGAGGACAUGUCUCUAGAGCAGAGGCAGAUGAUGAAGCAGGCUGUGGUAUCUGAGGGGACUUGUUUCCCAGUUCCCCCGAGUAGAUCUUAGUAGCUGUAAUUCUGCCCGGAACAAUCUGUGACACUGGCUUUUGGGAGAAGCUGAAGAUCCUGAUGGAUUCUGGGAAGGCUUAGGAUUAAGGGGUAAAACAGUGAGCUGUGGCAGCAGCUCAUAUCCCAAUCUAUGAGAACGGGCUGAUCCAGACCCUGCACCCAUCCAGCGCUAACUUCCCCUUUCAUGAAUUUCAGGGCCUUAUUGAUUGUGAGACAAAGCAAGUCCGAGAGCUAGGACCAAGCUUCUGUUUGGCUAUCGUACCCCAGUCAGUAUUCUCCUAAUCCCAGGGGUUAGCCUCAUCCCCUGUCUCACCAAGAAUUGAGCUGCAGCGAGGGCGGCCUCUGACCUGAGUAUUCAGUCCAGCCUACUGGUCUCUCUGCAGAUGGUGUGCUGCCAAACAGUACCCUGGGUAGAAAAAUCAAGCCAUGAUGUAUAUGUAUAUAAGGGCAGCUAGCACCGGAAUGUAAACUCCUGACCAGGUGGCUUUCCCACCUUGGCUGCUCAUCCUGGGAUGGCUGAGCGUGGAACUCUGGGCUCCAGCCCUGCCCCUGCCCCUUUGCUGCCUUUCUCCUGUGAGCAGUUCCGUGGACUGGGGCACAGAUGUGCUAAACUGUCCUAGGAAGCCCAGUGUGACUCUCUGUUCAGGUUUCCCUGAGGUUCAGAGACAACAUACAGCUGUGCUGGGAAUGCACACCAGUCUUUGAAGGCCGCACCCCACAUCUCACCAUCUGACCGUGGCCCAACCUGAGCACCCCCUCCCAAGACUUACUGACAGGACAUGCUCAGUGGGAGCCCCAAGUGAGGCCCAGACACCUCUUAUCCAUUAGCCCUGAGUUUGAAAGGCCCUUAAGGGAAUCUUUAAAAACUGGAGUGGUAGAUUCUAGGAAUAUGCCAUUUAGAGAUGAAACCAAAAGACAGGAAGCAUGAGGAUCACCCCAGGCCCAGAAUGUAAGGAAGAGAGAGGAUGGGGGGAGGGAGCGGUUCAGAUUGUGGAUUUACAGAAAGAAGUUUCUUGCCUUUUUUGUCCGUGUGUGUGUGUGUGUGUGUGUGUGUGUGUGUGUGUGUGUGUGUGUGUGUGUGUGUAGACAGUAU